rnacentral:rRNA from 1 species
GACGAACGCUGGCGGCGUGCUUAACACAUGCAAGUCGAACGGUAAGGCCCUUCGGGGUACACGAGUGGCGAACGGGUGAGUAACACGUGGGUGAUCUGCCCUGCACUUCGGGAUAAGCCUGGGAAACUGGGUCUAAUACCGGAUAGGACCACUGCCUGCAUGGGUGGUGGUGGAAAGCUUUUGCGGUGUGGGAUGGGCCCGCGGCCUAUCAGCUUGUUGGUGGGGUGAUGGCCUACCAAGGCGACGACGGGUAGCCGGCCUGGGAGGGUGACCGGCCACACUGGGCCGGGGAUACGGCCCAGACUCCUACGGGAGGCAGCAGUGGGGAAUAUUGCACAAUGGGCGCAAGCCUGAUGCAGCGACGCCGCGUGAGGGAUGACGGCCUUCGGGUUGUAAACCUCUUUCAGCACCGACGAAGCGCAAGUGACGGUAGGUGCAGAAGAAGGACCGGCCAACUACGUGCCAGCAGCCGCGGUAA